UGUAGGAGCUUGCUCCAUUGUGUUUAGCGGCGGACGGGUGAGUAACACGUGGGCAACCUGCCCUGCAGAUCGGGAUAACUCCGGGAAACCGGUGCUAAUACCGAAUAGUUUUUUGCCCCUCCUGGGGCGAAACGGAAAGACGGUUUCGGCUGUCACUGCAGGAUGGGCCCGCGGCGCAUUAGCUAGUUGGUGGGGUAAUGGCCCACCAAGGCGACGAUGCGUAGCCGACCUGAGAGGGUGAUCGGCCACACUGGGACUGAGACACGGCCCAGACUCCUACGGGAGGCAGCAGUAGGGAAUCUUCCGCAAUGGACGCAAGUCUGACGGAGCAACGCCGCGUGAGUGACGAAGGUUUUCGGAUCGUAAAACUCUGUUGUGAGGGAAGAACAAGUACCAAGUAACUACUGGUACCUUGACGGUACCUCACCAGAAAGCCACGGCUAACUACGUGCCAGCAGCCGCGGUAAUACGUAGGUGGCAAGCGUUGUCCGGAAUUAUUGGGCGUAAAGCGCGCGCAGGCGGUCCCUUAAGUCUGAUGUGAAAGCCCACGGCUCAACCGUGGAGGGUCAUUGGAAACUGGGGGACUUGAGUGCAGAAGAGGAAAGUGGAAUUCCACGUGUAGCGGUGAAAUGCGUAGAGAUGUGGAGGAACACCAGUGGCGAAGGCGACUUUCUGGUCUGUAACUGACGCUGAGGCGCGAA
rnacentral:rRNA from 1 species